UAGGGAAUCUUCGGCAAUGGACGAAAGUCUGACCGAGCAACGCCGCGUGAGUGAAGAAGGCUUUCGGAUCGUAAAACUCUGUUGUUAGAGAAGAACAAGGACGUUAGUAACUGAACGUCCCCUGACGGUAUCUAACCAGAAAGCCACGGCUAACUACGUGCCAGCAGCCGCGGUAAUACGUAGGUGGCAAGCGUUGUCCGGAUUUAUUGGGCGUAAAGCGAGCGCAGGCGGUUUCUUAAGUCUGCUGUGAAAGCCCCCGGCUCAACCGGGGAGGGUCAUUGGAAACUGGGGGACUUGAGUGCAGAAGGGGGGGGUGGAAUUCCAUGUGUAGCGGUGAAAUGCGUAGAUAUAUGGAGGAACACCAGUGGCGAAGGCGGCUCUCUGGUCUGUAACUGACACUGAGGCUCGAAAGCGUGGGGAGCAAACAGG
rnacentral:rRNA from 1 species